UGCGGAGGGAGCUAGCGUUGUUCGGAAUUACUGGGCGUAAAGCGCACGUAGGCGGCUUUGUAAGUUAGAGGUGAAAGCCCGGGGCUCAACCCCGGAAUUGCCUUUAAGACUGCAUCGCUUGAAUCCGGGAGAGGUGAGUGGAAUUCCGAGUGUAGAGGUGAAAUUCGUAGAUAUUCGGAAGAACACCAGUGGCGAAGGCGACUUACUGGACACAUAUUGACGCUGAGGUGCGAAAGCGUGGGGAGCAAACAGG
rnacentral:rRNA from 1 species